UACGUAGGGUGCGAGCGUUACUCGGAAUUACUGGGCGUAAAGAGCUCGUAGGCGGUUCGUCGCGUCGGCUGUGAAAACCCGGAGCUCAACUCCGGGCCUGCAGUCAAUACGGGCGGACUGGAGUUCGGCAGGGGAGACUGGAAUUCCUGGUGUAGCGGUGAAAUGCGCAGAUAUCAGGAGGAACACCGGUGGCGAAGGCGGGUCUCUGGGCCGAUACUGACGCUGAGGAGCGAAAGCGUGGGGAGCGAACAGG
rnacentral:rRNA from 1 species